rnacentral:rRNA from 1 species
CCUACGGUGUGCAGCAGUGAGGAAUAUUGGUCAAUGGUCGAGAGUUUGAACCAGCCAAGCAGCGUGAAGGAUGACGGCCUUAUGGGUUGUAAACUUUUUUUUUAUGGGAAUAAAUUGUUCCUCGUGUGGGAUUGUGUAUGUACCAUAUGUAUCAGGAUCGGCUAAAUCCGUUCCAGCAGCCGCGGUAAUACGGAGGAUACGAGCGAUAUCUGGUUUUAUUGGGUUUAAAGGGAGCGGAGGUUGGUUGUUAAGUUAGUUGUGAAAGUUUGUGGCUUAACCGUAAAAUCGCUUUUGAUACUGGCAGUCUUGAGUACAGUAGAGGUAGGCGGAAUUCGUGGUGUAGCGGUGAAAUGCUUAGAUAUCACGAAGAACACCGAUUGCGAAGGCAGUUCACUGGACUGUAACUGACACUGAGGCACGAAAGUGUGGGUAGCAAACAGGAUUAGAUACCCGAGUAGUC